UACGUAGGGACCAAGCGUUGUCCGGAAUCAUUGGGCGUAAAGCGCGUGUAGGCGGUUCGGUAAGUCUGUCGUGAAAGCCCCGGGCUCAACCUGGGAAUUGCGAUGGAGACUGCAAGGCUUGAAUCUGGCAGAGGGGGGGUAGAAUUCCACGUGUAGCAGUGAAAUGCGUAGAGAUGUAGAGGAACACCGAUGGACGAAGGCAGCCCCCUGGGUCAAGAUUGACGCUCAUGCACGAAAGCGUGGGGAGCAAACAGG
rnacentral:rRNA from 1 species